GGGGCCAUAGCUCAGGUGGUUAGAGCGCUUCACUGAUAAUGAAGAGGUCCCAGGUUCAAGUCCUGGUGGCCCCAC
rnacentral:tRNA from 2 species